ACUGUUUGGUGUGGACAUGGGAGCUCAUCUGUAAGAUUUUGCAGGUGUGAGGCCUGCCAAAUUUUCAAUAUUAUGUAGUUUCCUGAAAGGAUAUAAGCAGCAUCAGCCUUUCUUCAGAUGGUGAAGAAAAAACCCUAUUAUUCUAUCAGUGACCUUUGGCAAGAAACUGCUCUCUUGAACUGUUCAUGUCUCUGGAGUGUUUGACUAAGGUUUCUUCUGGUCAGGUCAUCGACAAUCCAAAUGUCAGACAACAAUGUGGCCAUUUUUCAUCUUGAGGGUGGUAACAGCCCCUGGGGCACUACAGUACUAUGCCUUAUGGAUUGCCUUAUGAAUGGAGUUAUUUCAGUAUCUAUGAAUCCUCAAGAAAACUGGAUCCUUCCUCUACCAGUUAAAGCCAGACCCGAGCUGCCAGAGUGAACUAAUGACUUCAGAAUGGAAGACAGAUGCUUCCUGCAGGAGAAUUCCCCUGCAGGCAGAGAACCCUUAACCAGGGCUGGUUUCAGAACUUGUGAGCCCUGGUGCUAAGUGAAAAUGGGGGACCCCUUGUUCAAAAGUCAGGGGAAAAAGUGUCAUUAA